rnacentral:misc_RNA from 1 species
GAUGAAGAACGUAGCGAAAUGCGAUACGUAAUGUGAAUUGCAGAUUUCAGUGAAUCAUCGAAUCUUUGAACGUACAUUGCGCCCGCUAGUAUUCUGGCGGGCAUGCCUGUUCGAGCGUCAUUUCAACCAUCAAGCCCUAGGCUUGCGUUGGAGCCCUGCGGCUGCCGCAGGCUCCCAAAUCCAGUGGCGGGCUCGUCGUCGUACCGAGUGCAGUAAACAUCCUCGCUCAGGGAACGUGACGGGUUCUUGCCGUGAAACCCCCCACAUAUCAAGGUUGACCUCGGAUCAGGUAGGGAUACCCGCUGAACUUAAGCAUAUCAAUAAGCGGAGGA